GAUAAGUUUUAUUUUGGCUUUCAAUUUUAAUUUAUAGAUUAAUAUAUAUGUAAGUUUAAGCGUUGAAUUAUAUUUAAAUAGUAUAAUUAAAAAUUAUAUAUAAUUUUUGCAAUAGUUAAUUUUAUACAAUAAAAGAAAUUUUGAUAUAAGAAUUUAUAUUAAGUAUUGGCUAAAUUUGUGCCAGCAGCUGCGGUUAAACAAGUGAUGCUAUUAAAUUAGGUCGGUUUGAUAAUAAACAUGAAAUUAAGUUUAAUUUUAGAAUUUAUUUUAAUAAGUGAAAUUAGAAAAUUAAAUUAGGUUAAUUUUAAGUUUGGAAAUUUGUGAAAUUUUAUUGUUAGACUAGGAUUAGAUACCCUAUUAUAAGAAAUGUAAAUUUUGAUACCAGAUUAGUAGUAGUUAUGCCCUUGAAAUUUAAAAGAUUUGGCGGUAUUUUAAGUCUUUUUAGAGGAACCUGUCCUAUAAUUGAUGAUCCACGAUUAAUUGUACUUAAUUUAAUAGUUUGUAUACCGUCGUCAUUUGUAUGUCUUUAAAAAGUUAGAUAAUGUUCAUAAAUUAUAAUUUUAUAAAGUAAAUCAGAUCAAGGUACAGCUUAUAAUUGAGAAGAGAUGGGUUACAAUAAAUUUAUUUAUAUGGUUAUAAUAAUUAACAUUAUUAUAUAAAGUGGAUUUAAUAGUAAUUUAUUUAAUUUAAAAUAUAUGAUUAAAGCUCUGAAAUAUGCACAUAUCGCCCGUCGCCUCCAUCGAAAUGUAAGUUGGAGUAAGUCGUAACAUAGUAGGUGUACCGGAAGGUGUACCUGGUUUGAU
rnacentral:ncRNA from 1 species